AGCCCAAGCUUAAAACCCAAAGGACUUGACGGUGUCCCACCCACCUAGAGGAGCCUGUUCUAUAAUCGAUUAUCCCCGAUACACCCCACCACUUCUAGCCUUUCAGCCUGUAUACCUCCGUCGUAAGCUCACCAUAUGAAUGCUUUUUAGUGAGCUAAAAGAUUUCCACAUAAAUACGUCAGGUCAAGGUGCAGCCAACGAAGUGGCAAGUAAUGGGCUACAAUUUCUACAAUUAGAACACAACGAAAGACCGCAUGCAACUCGGUCAUGAAGGUGGAUUUAGAAGUAAAAAGAAAGUAGAGAGUUCUUUUUAAUUAGGCACUGGGACGCGUACACACCGCCCGUCACCCUCUUCAAACGCCUUAAUUCAGUACAUAACAAUUAUAUGCACAACAGAAGAGGUAAGUCGUAACACGGUAAGCGUACUGGAAAGUGCGCUUGGAUAAACAAAAUGUAGCUUAAUCAAAGCAUCUCGCUUACACCGAGAAUAUAUCUGUGAUACCCGGAUCAUCUUGAGCUAAAAACUUAGCUUAAUCCAUUCUAAUGUACAACCCCCCCCCCCCCAAAACCAAAUAAAACAUUUUCUACAUUUAGUAAAGGCGAUUAAAAAAUGUCUCAAAGCUAUAUAAUUAGUACCGCGAGGGAAAAGUGAAAUAAUAAUGAAAAACUUCAAGCACAUAAAAGCAGAGCUGCAACCUCGUACCUUUUGCAUCAUGGUCUAACUAGUCUAAUCAAGCAAAACGAACUUUAAGUCUGACCCCCCGAAACUAGGUGAGCUACUUAAAAACAGCCUCAUGGGCCAACCCGUCUCUGUUGCAAAAGAGUGGGAUGAUUUUUAAGUAGAGGUGAUAAACCUACCGAACCUAGAGAUAGCUGGUUAUUCAGGAAAAGGAUUUAAGUCCUACCUUAGGUUUUCUGUAUAUAUAAAUACAUUUUUAACCUUAAGAGCUAUUCAAAUAAGGUACAGCCUAUUUGAAACAGGAUACAACCUCACCUAUUGGGUAACACCUUUUAUAUUCCCUCAAGUGGGCCUAAAAGCAGCCACCUUUUAAAAAGCGUUAAAGCUUUAUUAACCGUUUGUAAAAAUUCCAUUAACUACCUGUAACCCUCAACCUGUACUGAAUGAUUUCAUAAUUUUAUGAAAACCUAUAUGUUAGAACUAGUAACAAGAAGAAGCCCUUCUCCAAAAUGUAAGCAUAAGCCAAAAUGAACCACUCAUUGGCAUUUAAAGUUAAUAAACCACAAGUAGUAACUUAACAAGAAAAAACUACUAAUUAUAACGUCAACCUUACACUAGUACAUUUCUGGAAAGACUAAAAGAAUGGGAAGGAACUCGGCAAACAAUUAACCUCGCCUGUUUACCAAAAACAUCGCCUCCUGCAUUUUAUAGGAGGUCCAGCCUGCCCAGUGACAAAGUUAAACGGCCGCGGUACCCUAACCGUGCAAAGGUAGCGCAAUCAUUUGUUCUUUAAAUGAGGACUAGUAUGAACGGCAUCACGAAGGUUAUACUGUCUCCCCACUCUAUUCAGUGAAACUGAUCUCCCCGUGAAGAAGCGGGAAUAAAAAUAUAAGACGAGAAGACCCCAUGGAGCUUUAAACUCAGUAACAACUGCUAUUUUUAAGCCUAGUAUUUACACAGCCAUGAUUACUAGUUUUUGGUUGGGGUGACCGCGGAGUAGAACUUAACCUCCAUGAUGAAAGGAAGUAUUAACCUAAACCAAGAGCGACAGCUCAAAGUAUUAAUAAAUUAACUAAUUGACCCAAUUACUUGAUCAACGAACUAAGUUACCCUGGGGAUAACAGCGCAAUCCAUUUCAAGAGCUCAUAUCGACAAAUGGGUUUACGACCUCGAUGUUGGAUCAGGGUAUCCCAGUGGCGCAGCAGCUACUAACGGUUCGUUUGUUCAACGAUUA
rnacentral:rRNA from 1 species